rnacentral:rRNA from 1 species
UUGGUUCCGGCAUCGAUGAAGAACGCAGCGAACUGCGAUAAGUAAUGUGAAUUGCAGAAUUCAGUGAAUCAUCGAGUCUUUGAACGCACAUUGCGCCCCCUGGCAUUCCGGGGGGCAUGCCUGUCCGAGCGUCAUUGCUGCCCUCAAGCCCGGCUUG